CAUCUUUGUGGGAGGCUUCUCUCAUGUCCCCACAUGGGGAGCUGGAGCUGAUAGAGGAAGCUCAUCUGCACUCUCCUCGGGUUGGAUUUGAACCGGCAGCCUUCAGGCAAUACAUUGAUGCGGUCAAAAGUUUAUCACCAUUGUACAAUUAUAAUGAUAUGAUGCCACCUCAACUACCUUGGUUCGAUCCUACAGUAUCCUGGGAUGUACAGUCUGGCCCACAAAAGUUGAAAAACACAGCAAAUGGCUCCUCAGAAUAUUUCUACAUCUUUAUGUCCAAGAGGUUUAGAACUCUGUUUGAAGAAGAAAGUCAAACGGCAAGUCUUGGCAACAGAAAAAUUUCAUGGUUUGACGAUGGUGGGGUGAGACCCUGGUUGCCGUGCAGAGUGGGUUCCAAAAAUCAUCAUCCCGGUCUCACCUCCUUCUCCAGGCUGUCUUCUCACGCGGAGAAUCAGUACUGGUCAACAAACAGCCCAGCAGGCGAAGGGUUAUAAUGUCACAAGGAUGCUGACAGGACACAUUUUAAGGCAACGGACAAAGGGUGCACAUCCCUUUCAUGGACUUCCUUUAUAUGGAGAUGUUAAGUACCAUGUGGCUGACCAAUAUGAAGGGUUUACUGACCGAGGAAGAUGACAAAACUCUCUCAUCUGGAGCAGUGGAAAUUGAGAUGACUCCAAAGCAAACGAAAGGCAGAGAUAUAAAAUCUAUAGCAAGGCAAAAAGGUUGCAAAGGUGACAAAGAUGAUGGUCCUAUUCAACUCUAAUUAUAUAAUCUGUAAAUAAAUGUUCAUUUAAGCAUUUGACACAAUAAAUUGCAAGGGAUGAGCCAUUCUUAUAGUUGACUUUUAAAGGGGAUUUUAGAAAAUCUACGUAUCCCAAAUCUAAACUCAAAUUAAAC
rnacentral:lncRNA from 11 species